GAUGAACGCUGGCGGCGUGCCUAAUACAUGCAAGUCGAGCGAACGGACGAGAAGCUUGCUUUUCUGACGUUAGCGGCGGACGGGUGAGUAACACGUGGAUAACCUACCUAUAAGACUGGGAUAACUUCGGGAAACCGGAGCUAAUACCGGAUAAUAUUUUGAACCGCAUGGUUCAAAAGUGAAAGACGGUCUUGCUGUCACUUAUAGAUGGAUCCGCGCUGCAUUAGCUAGUUGGUAAGGUAACGGCUUACCAAGGCAACGAUGCAUAGCCGACCUGAGAGGGUGAUCGGCCACACUGGAACUGAGACACGGUCCAGACUCCUACGGGAGGCAGCAGUAGGGAAUCUUCCGCAAUGGGCGAAAGCCUGACGGAGCAACGCCGCGUGAGUGAUGAAGGUCUUCGGAUCGUAAAACUCUGUUAUUAGGGAAGAACAUAUGUGUAAGUAACUGUGCACAUCUUGACGGUACCUAAUCAGAAAGCCACGGCUAACUACGUGCCAGCAGCCGCGGUAAUACGUAGGUGGCAAGCGUUAUCCGGAAUUAUUGGGCGUAAAGCGCGCGUAGGCGGUUUUUUAAGUCUGAUGUGAAAGCCCACGGCUCAACCGUGGAGGGUCAUUGGAAACUGGAAAACUUGAGUGCAGAAGAGGAAAGUGGAAUUCCAUGUGUAGCGGUGAAAUGCGCAGAGAUAUGGAGGAACACCAGUGGCGAAGGCGACUUUCUGGUCUGUAACUGACGCUGAUGUGCGAAAGCGUGGGGAUCAAACAGGAUUAGAUACCCUGGUAGUCCACGCCGUAAACGAUGAGUGCUAAGUGUUAGGGGGUUUCCGCCCCUUAGUGCUGCAGCUAACGCAUUAAGCACUCCGCCUGGGGAGUACGACCGCAAGGUUGAAACUCAAAGGAAUUGACGGGGACCCGCACAAGCGGUGGAGCAUGUGGUUUAAUUCGAAGCAACGCGAAGAACCUUACCAAAUCUUGACAUCCUUUGACAACUCUAGAGAUAGAGCCUUCCCCUUCGGGGGACAAAGUGACAGGUGGUGCAUGGUUGUCGUCAGCUCGUGUCGUGAGAUGUUGGGUUAAGUCCCGCAACGAGCGCAACCCUUAAGCUUAGUUGCCAUCAUUAAGUUGGGCACUCUAAGUUGACUGCCGGUGACAAACCGGAGGAAGGUGGGGAUGACGUCAAAUCAUCAUGCCCCUUAUGAUUUGGGCUACACACGUGCUACAAUGGACAAUACAAAGGGCAGCGAAACCGCGAGGUCAAGCAAAUCCCAUAAAGUUGUUCUCAGUUCGGAUUGUAGUCUGCAACUCGACUACAUGAGGCUGGAAUCGCUAGUAAUCGUAGAUCAGCAUGCUACGGUGAAUACGUUCCCGGGUCU
rnacentral:rRNA from 1 species